rnacentral:lncRNA from 1 species
CGCAUCUGGUACAAUGUUCGUCAAAGAGGAUGAGGUUACCGGGAUUGUCACUGAUGUGUUUAAAUGACUGCGCCAGCCUCCAGAGAAUAAGAUCUGUAUUCAUUGAUUCAUUUAACCAAUAUUCAGGUGACUACCACAUGCAAUACCACAAGUACAUGAAAAGUUCCCAAAUCAUAAACCAAAAACAUUGUUUGAAAGUUUAUUUACAACUAACAUCUCAUUUCCCCGUAAGUCUCCAUUUCUCCUCAUAUGCACUGCAGAUAACAAAACCAUUAGAGAAAACAUCCUGAAUGCCACUGUGAACACUCUUAUUGACUUCUCUCAGAUUUUCUCAUUGUUACAUAAAGGGAUGUAUUGUUACAUGAAGUUCUUUCAGCCUUCGUUAAAAUUCUCUAGAAGCAUUCUGUAUUAGGACUACAAUCAGCAGUGAUGGUUUGUAUGCCUAAUAAACAUUUCACUGGGUUUACUUUUCAAUAUCCCUAGGGUAUUAAUCUUUUGAAAACUCACUUGCAGUGGAGAUGAUUCGAUUGUAAAAUGUUUCUUCAUUCCCAAUAGCACAAUAUAGUAAGUAGUAGGUCUAUUUUCAUGCUGUAUCAACUAAUUUGCAAUCAUAGCAGAUCUUAAGAUUUCUU